GCCGCCGACUACUGCUGACGAGUUCCGUGUCCGCGAGCUAGAGCGGCCGCCGACUACUGCUGACGUGUUCAGUGUCCCCGAACUCGAGCCGCCGCCGACCCCCCCGGAGGGUUCCCGUGUCCCCGAGCCUGCCAUGCCAGAGACGUUCCGGAGCCGGCCAAAUGACCGUCCGCCGGGCCGACCACCGGAGGCUCCCCGGUCGCCUGGCCGCCCGCCGGGCCGCCCGCCAGAGUUUCCUGGGUGGCCCGACCAUUGUCUCUGGUUUCCCUCCCCCCCACCCCUUGUUUCGCUCUAGUGUGAGCCGCCUGGAAGUCGGCCCUUAAGGGGGGGGUACUGUCACGGUGUGGUUCACUUCAUGUUAUAUUUUGUAGUUUUCUGCCACUUGUGUCCCCGGGUAACUUCACUUCCUGCCUUGUCCCGUCAUCCCCUGUGAUCGUCUUAAUAGUUUACACCUGUGUCCAAUCACCUGCACCUCCCUAGUGUAUUUUAGCCGUGUGUCUCUUGUGUCACUUGUCGCGUCAUUGUCUUUUGCCACGCUUGUUCUUGUCUUUCGUCCUGGAUCUCUGUAGUUUUUUGCCUAUGUGCUUUUGCCCCCGGUUCCUGUGUUUUUGACCUUUUUGACUAUUAAAGUGUUUUGUUUGGAGAAGUCUGCAUUUGAGUCCUGCCUUCCACCCUCAACCCUGACAGUGAUCAGUUUCUUCUGAGGGCCAUCAACCUUUGUCUCCUAAACGGCUGCGCUGACUACUUCCCCGUUAAGUAGAGCUCAAAUUCUCCUUCCUGGACCUGAAUUGGUGAGCCUGCAUCUCGACUAAGGCCUCCAAACAUCAAGGCGACCUGAAAUCAGACUUAAGUAUUUUUUUUUUUAAACCUAGCUAGUCUGAUAAGUCUGCUAAAUUAAGGUUUAGAUUGGUAUUUACCUUCAACGUUUGCGUAGCUGCGCCGCUUGCAGGACAAAGACAAGGGAGUCUUCGGGGCAUCUGAAUGUGGCACCUUCCUCUGCUAUUUUUAAUAAUGUGUUUGACCCCCUUACCUGUACCUGUUCGAAUCUCUUCCCGCAGAUACUACCGCCCUCGGGCUAGAUCUGCUCUCAAUCGUAACCUCCUCUCUUACCUAUCCCACCCGCUCCACACAUGUCCAGCACCUUGUCAGAGGAGGCCUCUGGAACUGCCAGUCAGCUACUCGCAAGGCAGACUUCAUCUCAGGCAUUGCUAUCCAGCAGUCUGUUGACUUCCUCCCUCUCACUGAGACCUGGAUCACACCGGAGAACACAUCUACCCCAGCUGCUCCCUCCUGCUUUCUCCUUUAGACCCCCUGGUAGGGUGGUAGCACAGGUUUACUCAAUUCACCCAAAUGAAGCUUUUCUCAUUACCCUCUUCCGCCGUCCAUCCUACCGUCUUUCGAAUUCUAUGCUGUUAGUUACUCACCCGGUACAAUUAAAUAUUG
ensembl:lncRNA